UACGAAGGGGGCUAGCGUUGCUCGGAAUGACUGGGCGUAAAGGGCGCGUAGGCGGAUGGCACAGUCAGAUGUGAAAUUCCUGGGCUUAACCUGGGGGCUGCAUUUGAGACGUGUGAUCUGGAGUGAGGAAGAGGGUUGUGGAAUUCCCAGUGUAGAGGUGAAAUUCGUAGAUAUUGGGAAGAACACCGGUGGCGAAGGCGGCGACCUGGUCCUUAACUGACGCUGAGGCGCGAAAGCGUGGGGAGCAAACAGG
rnacentral:rRNA from 1 species